GCAGGCACCAAAACAGGUGUUGCGUCGCUGACGUCACGCGGCGGUGAUUGUGGCAACAGUCGACUGCAGCUAGAGAGACUGCGAUGGAGGACGCUCGCCCGGGGCCUAGCGGAUUUCGCGGCAGGCCUCGGAAGUACGCUACGGCCGAGGAUGCUCGCCAAGCGAGAAACGAGGCGCGACGUGCGAAGCGGCGGGAGCGAGGCGUUCGACCGCGAGUGCUGCUUUCCCCUGCCGAGAGGAUGCGACGCAAAGUCGAAGAGAAACGUCGUUGGCGCGAAUCUGACCCCGCUAUACGAGCGCGCGAAGCCGCAGCUAAGCGUCGAAAACGAGCCGAAGAAGCCGAACUACGAAAGCAGCAACGUGACGAUGCGAGACGGCAACGUAGAGAGGGGGCCGAAGCUCGCAGACAACGGCUUGAGGAAGAGAUCGAUGCUCGUAGGAUGGAAGCGGAGGCUCGGCGUCGUCAGUCGUGCGCUGCGGCGACGAAUCGAUUUCGGAAGGCGUUCGUGGAGAAUCCGUGUGGGAGUGAGUGCGACGUUUGCGGUGGACUGUGGUUUGCGAACGAUUUGACCCGAGUGAAGGCAGCGUCGUGCGAGCUUCUCCACCGGCACUUCCCAACGAGAAACGUGGCGGAGUUUAACGUGUGUCGCACGUGUGUCGACUCACUUCGACAGGGGAGGAUGCCAAACCACUCCACGACCAACCGAUGCGUCGGUCCUCCAAAGCCGCCUCAUCUGCCCCAUAGCAACUUGAUCAUUGAUGCUCUCUUGAGAGAAAGUGAUGGGAAUGAAGAGCUUGACAUGCAGGAGGGGCAUUCCCCACUGGGAGCAGAAACAGCUGUGGAAGCUGAUCCAUGUUGUUCAGGUGGCACAAAUGACUUCUUGACCACAACUGCCUCGUGCAGCACAGAUGCAGGUACAGUGCUCACGGAAUGAAAUAGGACACAGAUCAUUUAGUAGAACCCUACAUAUGUGCAAAGUACGCAAGAGCACCAUGUCAUGUCGCUAGGAAUUUGAUCACCAAAGGUGAAGAGGACUCCGAUGUAAGUGUACACGCCACAAUUACGUCGGUGUGACAAGAACUGCGGCCGGUUGAAACGAAAGUAUGCACAUUACUUAGCCCUAAAUUGACGCGUUUCAUUCCGUGAGCACUGUACACAGAGCAACUGUGGGAGGCACUCAAAGUGUGUUCAAGUGUCUCUGCGACCGGUGCAACGACAUGUACAGAUUCAGACCACCACAAAGACUAUCAAUUCAGGGAAUUAUUUUCAGCAGCACAGACACGCGUGACCUUUGCCUCUGCACCUUUUCCUUCGCUGCAAUGGGAAAUUGUGCCCGACUAAACGAGGCGCCAGGAAGAUACAGACAAGACGGUUUGGAC